AAACAUAACUCUUCAUCUUUUACUCAUUAAAUCUCCUUCACAAAUGUAUUUGUAUAGAAUUUCGGGUAAAUUAUCAUAGAAAUUUUACAUAACAGUCCACACCAGAUCACAUAUCAAAUGCAGAUUUCUAUUUGUAUUGCCAAAAGAUAAACAGCCUCUUUUACAUUGCUGCAGAAUAUUGUUUACUGUAUACUUCUCUAAAGCACCACAAUAUUUUUAGUGGGUGCAAUUCUAUCACUCAACUGUACAGGAACAAGUUACAAACUCAACACGCUAAGUUAGCUGCAGAAUUUUGUAAAAACAAGUUAAAAAAAAAAG
rnacentral:lncRNA from 1 species